CCCGCCCCUAUUUUAACAGGAGGGAAGAGCCCAAGUUUGAAAGCUGGCGUUUGUAUUCAGGCGUCUGCAUUGUAAACUCGAGAAGUGUUAUCCGUGCCGGACCAGGUUCAAGUCCCUUGGAACCCAUGGCUGAAAGUCCCGUACUUGAUCUGGAACCCCCGAACUAACUCUCAAAGAGUCGAGUUGUUUGGGAAUGCAGCUCAAAAUGGGUGGUAAAUGCCAUCUAAGGCUAAAUAUCGAGGAGAGACCGAUAGCGAACAAGUACCGUGAGGGAAAGAUGAAAAGAACUUUGGAAAGAGAGUUAAACAGUACGUGAAAUUGCCGGAAGGGAAGGGUAUUUAUUUGCAGAUUCAGCCUUGUCUUUGGACUUGGUGCAUUUUUGUAAUGGCAGGCCAGUGUCGGUUUGUGCCGCCAGAUAUAGGUUUAGGGAAUGUGGCUUUGCUUNNNNNNNNNNCUUUACUGAGUAUGGCGGUGUGGACCGAGGAACGCAGCGCACCCAUUAGGGCAGGCCCCCCCCANGAUGCUGGCUUAAUGGCUUUCUGCCACCCGUCUUGAAACACGGACCAAGGAGUCUAACAUGCAUGCGAGUCUUUGGGUGGUAAACCCAUGGGCGAANAAUNACGGNUGGGAUCCCUUGCNGGUGCACCAUCGGCCCACACUGAAACCUUUCAUGGGGAUGAGUUUGAGCAGGAGCAUUUAUGUUGGGACCCGAAAGANGUGAACUAUGCCU
rnacentral:rRNA from 1 species